AACUUACCUAGACUCAGACUAAUGUGUGAGUCUGUACUCUGCAAGGAUAUAUCUGUAAAUUCUGUUGCCAAGAUUCUUGCCCUGGCUGAUCAUUAUUGUGCUAUGGAUUUGAAAUCUGUUUGCCUAAAAUUUGCUGCAGAAAAUCUCGUAGCUGUCAUGCGCUCAGACGGUUUUGAGUAUCUCAAAGAGAACUGUCCAUUACUGCAGUCAGAACUCCUAAAGACAGUGGCAGG
rnacentral:misc_RNA from 1 species